UUUUUCAUUUCUCCUUCAACACAUGCUCAAAUCGUAUUCUUCCAUCCUUGAACCAUUCUUUCAUGUCAUAACAUUUUAUUUGUCUUUUAUGCAAGCAAGAUUCUCUCGCUCUCUUGUCACCAACUAGGAAGAUAUCCACACCAAUAUCACUUUCACCCUAAGAUUGUUCUCACAAUGACAAUGAUGCCAAUGUUAAAACUAGGCUGUUAACUACAUUUCACAAAGGAUUACUGAUUUCAGAGAGACAUUUUUAGCAGCAAGAUGAGAGACAUUACCUAUUUUGGCAGAAUCUCCACAGGUUUGUAUGGCUAGGGCUCCUCUGCCUCUGUCGAUGUCCAAUUGAAAUCCUCGACCCUUGAAUAUCUCCACUCCUCUACGUCUAUCGGAUGGGAUUUUUCUCUUAUUCCUCUAUUAGACAUGGUUUUUCUCUUUGAACCUGCCAAAUUAGGGUGAUCUCAUUGAAGAGGGGUCACCUGGUAUGUACUCCAUGAACAAAUUGUGCAUCCCUACACCAUUCUCAAUGUUGUAAGACCGCCCUAGGUAGUGAACGAUGUAUGGGGAAUCGAGACUAGUUUUUCUCCUCAGACGAGGUUUUUCUUAGCUACUAAAUGGGCUCCUGAUCAUCACCCUAAUUUGGUUUGUAAUGGAUGGGUGAGGGUGGAUUAAUCUGAAUGUUUAAAUAAAACAAAGCAUUGUGAUGGUCCCUGCGAAUGCUAACACAAUGUGAUUUAUGCCCAGUGCUCUGCAUGUCAAAGUGAAGAAAUUCAACCAAGCAUGAGUAAAUGAUGAGAGUAACUAUGACUCUCUUAAGGUAUCCAUAUGCCUCGUCAUCUAAUUAGUGACACAAAUGAAUGGAUUAAUGAUAUUCCCACUAUCUCAGGAUACUAUAUAGAGAAACCACAACCAAGGGAAUGAUCUUAGAAAAAUUAGUAGGGAAAGAACACCAUGUUGAGCUUGAGUCUAUUCCAACUUUGUGAAAUGACUUGAGAGGUGUAGAAUAACUAGGAGUUGUUUUCAGCACAAGUGAAAUACCAACACUUUUAACGUUAUUUUACUUAUUUUGUGGGGCAGACAUGAGGCAUUUCACAUGUAUUAAAAGUUAAUGCACAUUUCCUCAAAGUGUUGUCAUUGAUGGCAAUGGUCAAAAGAUCAUUCUUCACAAAAUUGAUGGAAAUGAUUUUAGGAAACCAAAUAUUAUCAUUACUUUUAAGGAUGAAUAAAUUUCCUAUAACAAUCCCUAUGUUUUUAGCCAACAUCCCCCUAUAAUUAUAUAUGU
rnacentral:ncRNA from 1 species